rnacentral:rRNA from 1 species
AUUGAACGCUGGCGGCAGGCCUAACACAUGCAAGUCGAGCGGAUGAAGGGAGCUUGCUCCUGGAUUCAGCGGCGGACGGGUGAGUAAUGCCUAGGAAUCUGCCUGGUAGUGGGGGAUAACGUCCGGAAACGGGCGCUAAUACCGCAUACGUCCUGAGGGAGAAAGUGGGGGAUCUUCGGACCUCACGCUAUCAGAUGAGCCUAGGUCGGAUUAGCUAGUUGGUGGGGUAAAGGCCUACCAAGGCGACGAUCCGUAACUGGUCUGAGAGGAUGAUCAGUCACACUGGAACUGAGACACGGUCCAGACUCCUACGGGAGGCAGCAGUGGGGAAUAUUGGACAAUGGGCGAAAGCCUGAUCCAGUCAUGCCGCGUGUGUGAAGAAGGUCUUCGGAGUGUAAAGCACUUUAAGUUGGGAGGAAGGGCAGUAAGUUAAUACCUUGCUGUUUUGACGUUACCAACAGAAUAAGCACCGGCUAACUUCGUG